GACGUAGGGUGCGAGCGUUGUCCGGAUUUAUUGGGCGUAAAGAGCUCGUAGGCGGCUCGUCGCGUCGACCGUGAAAACCCGCGGCUUAACUGCGGGCUUGCGGUUGAUACGGGCGGGCUAGAGUUCGGUAGGGGAGACUGGAAUUCCUGGUGUAGCGGUGAAAUGCGCAGAUAUCAGGAGAAACACCGGUGGCGAAGGCGGUUCUCUGGGCAUUACCUGACGCUGGAGGAGCGAAAGUGUGGGGAGCGAACAGG
rnacentral:rRNA from 1 species